CGUCGGCCGCGGUCCGGCCACAAGGUGGUGAUCGAGUCACCGGCCAUGGAGCACCAAAUCUUCCAGCUUCGUCACCACGCCAUGCUGCUGGUCUCCACGGAAGAGCGCCACGCUGCCAGCCCCAUGUCGGUGGGGCGUGCGUUCGACACGCAGCCGCGCAUGCCAACGCAUCUCCUGUGGGUCACGUGCCACGACCCGGAGGACUUCCUGGUCCAUUUCAAGCUGCCGGCACACCGGGACAAUGCCGUGCACCUGGGCUCCAUCAACAUUGACGGCGUCAUCUUCGACAUCAAGCCGUGGCACGAGGACGACCACGCCGUGCACCAAGAGUUCCUUCUUCACGUCCGUGUCGUCAUCGAGAAGAUGUCGUUUCAUCUCUGGUCGCUCGAGGGGGCGGCCGAGGUCCUGGGCGACAAGUGCAUCGUCGACCGCCUCGACAGCCGUACCCAGGAGCGCGGGCACACGAAGAAAUUUGCGUGCUGGGUGUCGGUGUGGGAUGUGGCGUUCAUCCCCACCCAGCACAUCAUCUGGAGGGCGGCGCGGGGUGCAGGCCGUGUGGAGGCCAUGCUAGGCUACUCGCCGCCGAGCCGGGAGGUAGCGUUGCCGCCGUGCGUCCGGCGCCAUGACAUGCUCAUCCACGUCGAUCGCGUCGAGGACUGGUCGCCUCUUUCUCCGCACUCGCCGCACUCCGCGCAGAGCGGCCUGCCCUCGUCAGAGUCGGAGGAUGCGCGCUCGGUCCCAUCCAUCUGA
rnacentral:rRNA from 1 species